rnacentral:lncRNA from 1 species
AAAAGUGAAGUUUUGGAGUCAAACUAGGAAGAGUAAACUACACGAGUGGACUACUUGGAGCGUGGUCGGCUCGCGAGUCACGCAAAUGGACUGAUUGGGCCAUGCAGGUCUGCUUCUUGGGCGUAUGUUGCACGCACGCAAGUCGUGGGAUAUGUGAUAGGCUUCCUAUGCACUUGCGCAUUGCCGCUCGUAGGCCGACAUGCAUUGGACUUAUGGGCUUGUUUGGCUGUACGUCUCACAUGCUCCCGCAUGCAAGUAAGGUUUCUGCAUAUGCGAGUGGGUUGUCCCACACAUGUGAUGUUCCACACAUGUGCUAAAGGGGUCACACAUGACACAUGUUGUCCAUGGAUCUCUUUUGGGCCUUGGCCCACUUUGGCCAUUAGUUCUUUCGGCCACCUUCGGUUGGGCCAUAAAUGGGCUUUUCUUUUUGUCUUUUAACCUCUCCAAGUCUAUGAAGUGUUACUUAGACUUCA